rnacentral:rRNA from 1 species
UACGGGGGGGGCAAGCGUUGUUCGGAAUUACUGGGCGUAAAGGGCUCGUAGGCGGCCAACUAAGUCGGAUGUGAAAUCCCCAGGCUUAACCUGGGAACUGCAUCCGAUACUGGAUGGCUUGAAUCCGGGAGAGGGAUGCAGAAUUCCAGGUGUAGCGGUGAAAUGCGUAGAUAUCUGCAGGAACACCCGUGGCGAAAGCGGCGCGCUGGACCACUACUGACGCUGAAGAACGAAAGCUAGGGGAGCAAACAGG